CCUACGGGAGGCAGCAGUAAGGAAUAUUGGACAAUGCUCGCAAGAGUGAUCCAGCCAUGCCGCGUGCAGGAAGAAUGCCCUAUGGGUAGUAAACUGCUUUUGAACUAGAGAAAACUCCAGUACGUGUACUGGGCUGAUAGUAUAGUUAGAAUAAGCAUCGGCUAACUUCGUGCCAGCAGCCGCGGUAAGACGAAGGAUGCAAGCGUUAUCCGGAUUCAUUGGGUUUAAAGGGAGCGUAGGUGGACUGAUAAGUCAGUGGUGAAAUCUCCGAGCUUAACUCGGAAAUUGCCAUUGAUACUGUUGGUCUUGAGUACAGUUGCUGUGGGCGGAAUAUGACAUGUAGUGGUGAAAUACAUAGAGAUGUCAUAGAACACCGAUUGCGAAGGCAGCUCACAAAGCUGUAACUGACACUGAGGCUCGAAAGUGCGGGGAUCAAACAGGAUUAGAUACCCUGGUAGUCCGCACCGUAAACGAUGAUUACUCGCUGCUAGGGGACAACCGUUUAGUGGCUUAGCGAAAGCGAUAAGUUAAUUCCACCGUUGGGGAGUACGCCGGNACGGUGAACGUUAAGGAAUUGACGGNNGAGAGNGCGAGGACGACGACGAGGAGGAG
rnacentral:rRNA from 1 species